CCCACUAAAAAUAGAUUAUAACUUGAGAUUCAAUUUUAUUUUUAAAUACUGUAAUACUCAAUUUUAUUGUUAUAAUAAAUAAUUAAUCUCAUCGAAACUACUCUACAAAUGUUAGUAAAAAAUUAAAACAAAAAAGAAAAGGAAAACAGAUAUGCUUCCCUAUGUGUGGUACAAUUGAAUUGUUGCCUACACAUCAGCACAAACGGAAAUUACCAAAACACCCCUCAAGCCCCC
rnacentral:lncRNA from 1 species